CACUCAUCCAGAGGGGCAGAGGGACACGGCCCGCUGAAGCCCCGGCAACCACCGUGCGCACUCGUGCGCGCAGCAGGUGCCCCUUCCGUCCUGCGCGGCUCGACGGCCCGACGCGGGGAAGAUGAGGA
rnacentral:ncRNA from 2 species